rnacentral:rRNA from 1 species
UACGGAGGGGGCUAGCGUUGUUCGGAAUUACUGGGCGUAAAGCGCACGUAGGCGGUUUUGUAAGUUAGAGGUGAAAGCCCGGGGCUCAACCCCGGAAUAGCCUUUAAGACUGCAUCACUUGAACGUCGGAGAGGUGAGUGGAAUUCCGAGUGUAGAGGUGAAAUUCGUAGAUAUUCGGAAGAACACCAGUGGCGAAGGCGGCUCACUGGACGACUGUUGACGCUGAGGUGCGAAAGCGUGGGGAGCAAAC